rnacentral:rRNA from 1 species
GCCCUUGGCGGCGUGCUAUACAUGCAGUCGAGCGGACGGAUGGGAGCUUGCUCCCUGAAGUCAGCGGCGGACGGGUGAGUAACACGUGGGCAACCUGCCUGUAAGACUGGGAUAACUCCGGGAAACCGGGGCUAAUACCGGAUAACUCUUUCCCUCACAUGAGGGAAAGCUGAAAGAUGGUUUCGGCUAUCACUUACAGAUGGGCCCGCGGCGCAUUAGCUAGUUGGUGAGGUAACGGCUCACCAAGGCCACGAUGCGUAGCCGACCUGAGAGGGUGAUCGGCCACACUGGGACUGAGACACGGCCCAGACUCCUACGGGAGGCAGCAGUAGGGAAUCUUCCGCAAUGGACGAAAGUCUGACGGAGCAACGCCGCGUGAGUGAUGAAGGUUUUCGGAUCGUAAAACUCUGUUGUCAGGGAAGAACAAGUACCGGAGUAACUGCCGGUACCUUGACGGUACCUGACCAGAAAGCCACGGCUAACUACGUGCCAGCAGCCGCGGUAAU